rnacentral:rRNA from 1 species
UACGUAGGGGGCAAGCGUUGUCCGGAAUCACUGGGCGUAAAGGGCGCGUAGGCGGGAUGGCAAGUCAGUCGUGAAAUCUCUCGGCUCAACCGAGAAACGUCGGCUGAUACUGCCGUUCUUGAGGGAUGCAGAGGAGACUGGAAUUCCCGGUGUAGCGGUGAAAUGCGCAGAUAUCGGGAGGAACACCAAUGGCGAAGGCAGCUCGCUGGGACGGUACUGACGCUGAGACGCGAAAGCGUGGGGAGCAAACAGGG